CUGUAUGGGAGAGGUUCGACUGAUGAUAAGGGCCCGGUGGCCGGCUGGAUAAACGCCCUGGAAGCGUAUCAGAAAACAGACCAGGAGAUUCCUGUCAACGUCCGAUUCUGCCUCGAAGGCAUGGAGGAGUCAGGCUCUGAGGGCCUAGACGAGCUGAUUUUCGCCCAGAAAGACACAUUCUUUAAGGAUGUGGACUAUGUCUGCAUUUCUGACAAUUACUGGCUGGGAAAGAAGAAGCCCUGCAUCACCUACGGCCUCAGGGGCAUUUGCUACUUUUUCAUCGAGGUGGAGUGCAGCAACAAAGACCUCCAUUCUGGGGUGUACGGGGGCUCGGUGCAUGAGGCCAUGACUGAUCUCAUUUUGCUGAUGGGCUCUUUGGUGGACAAGAGGGGGAACAUCCUGAUCCCCGGCAUUAACGAGGCUGUGGCUGCCGUCACGGAAGAGGAGCACAAGCUGUACGACGACAUCGACUUUGACAUAGAGGAGUUUGCCAAGGACGUGGGGGCGCAGAUCCUCCUGCACAGCAACAAGAAAGACAUCCUCAUGCACCGAUGGCGGUACCCGUCUCUCUCCCUCCACGGCAUCGAAGGUGCCUUCUCUGGGUCAGGGGCCAAGACCGUGAUUCCCAGGAAGGUGGUUGGCAAGUUCUCCAUCAGGCUCGUGCCGAACAUGACUCCUGAAGUCGUCAGCGAGCAGGCAUGUGGGGCUGGGACACGGGGUGGGGGCCAAGAGCUGCUGUGUCUGGGCAGAGACUUGGGUAAUAAAGGCUCUUACUCAGCAGACACCCAGGCCAUGCAUGCCCCCGCUUCCUGGCUCUGGCGAAGUCAGUAAUUAUGACAGUCACGGUUCAGAAGCUAAUCAAAGAUAAUGCAUCACAUGUAAGUGACCUUUGUUACUGAUGAGGCAGGCCAAAAUCUGGCCUUUGACCUCACCUCAAGGCUCCAGGCCAAACACCAAUGUUGGGCCAAGCGUGUUCUGGUCAGAGUCCCGGAGCCGCCCCUUACCACGGUGCCGUGUGGAGGGGACUCUGCUGGCUGGAGGUCAGCCCAGCUUCUGACUGUCCACCUCAGCUGGGAUUCAUGGGGAGAUGGAGUCUUCCCACUGGGAACGGGAGCCUGGGGCUCACCCUUCGUGUUGAAUACUGAGGUCUUGUCACGAGGAGGUGUCCCUGGGUCAGCUCCUGGCUCUAUCCUGGGUCUGGAUGCAAUGUAGCCUGUGGACAUGUAUUUUAUGAAGUACCUCGGUCUGCUCAGGCUGCCACAGUAAAGACUACAGAUGCGGUGGCUUACGUGGCAGAAACAAUUCCUCACUGUUUCGGAGGCGGAUGAGUCCAGGACCAAGGUGCCGGCAGCUGUGGCAUCUGACGACGGUUCCUCCUGGCCAUGGCCACUUCCCUCGCUUGUCCUCACAUGGCAGAGGGCAGGCUCUCGGUAUCUUCUCACCCAGGCCCACCCUUCUGGCCUCAUUUAACCUUUGUCUAAAUAAGGUUUAGGAAGAGAAAAAAAAAUCUACUAAAGAAUAAAAGCUAGACUUUUAAAGAAUUCAAGUUAGUUUCAUUCAGGCGUCUCACUGAGGACUGCAGACUGCGGCCUGGGGCCCAGGAGCAGCCUUCGAGAGGUUUGGCCGGGCUGCUCCGAGAGAGAGCGGCUCAGCCCGCAGCUCAUCUGCAGGUGGAGGAGCUUUGGUGCAUGCAGAAUCACAUCACACCUGCUCAGAUGUUACAUUCCAGCCGAGCCACACUGAGCCUCGGUGUAAGAGCACGUGUGGUCAUAGGUCACAGAGGCGCAACCACUAAUGCGGUCAGGUGCUAUCUUAUGUGUGGGAAAAGGUAAGGACAGGGUCAUUUAUCUCCUAAGGAAUGCAGUGACUCGGGCAAGAGGCAGGGGUGGUGUGUGCUCCCCCGUUUUGUCUUCAAAGCAUCUUUCCCGAGAGCUACAGGUAGUGGCAGGGUGGAGCCUGUGAAAUAGGCCGGCAAGCAGAACGGCGCAAACACAGCUUCUCACAUUUGUGACUUUGUCUUACACCUUAGUUACUUCUGUUAAGUCCCCAAAUGUAGUCACAGUGGAGUUUCGGGCUUAAAUAUGUGAAUUCUGGGGGCACGCAAACAUUGUCCGUAAUAUAAAGCAGGUCAGGGAAGAUUGUUUUUAAACUUAAUUUAUAUAGUAUCAUCAUUUAGAAGAUCUUUGGAAAGAGUGAAUUGCUUGAUAUUAAAACUUUGUCUUUGACUUUGAAAUAACUGGGUUUUAUUUUUUGAUAAGAAGUCCCCUCUUUCUGGCCGGGCACAGUGGCUCACGCUUGUAAUCCCAGCACUUUGGGAGGCCAAGGCGGGCGGAUCACGAGGUCAGGAGAUCGAGACCACGGUGAAACUCCGUCUCUACUAAAAAUACAAAAAUUAGCUGGGCGUGGUGGCGGGCGUCUGUAGUCCCAGCUGCUCAGAGAGGCUGAGGCAGGAGAAUGGCGUGAACCCGGGAGGCGGAGCUUGCAGUGAGCCGAGAACGUGCCACUGCACUACAGCCUGGGCGACAGAGCGAGACUCCGUCUCAAAAAAUAAAUAAAUAAAUAAAUAAAGAAGUCUCCUCUUUCCUUACUCUAGUUAUGUAGCUCAGUAUUAAGCAACAGAAAAUGAGACUCAUCGUAGACUCAGCAUAGACCCAUCACAGACCUGUCAGAGGCCGAUUGUAAGCUCGCUAGACCCGUGAUAGCAGACCCGUAGGUCACUAGCACUGGAUCAAAUGCCAAGCUUAUAAAGCAUUGUAGAUCUCUAUUCUAUCUGUGGUUUAGGUCACAAGCUACCUAACUAAGAAGUUUGCUGAACUGCGCAGCCCCAACGAGUUCAAAGUGUACAUGGGCCACGGCGGGAAGCCCUGGGUCUCCGACUUCAGUCACCCUCAUUACGUGGCUGGGAGAAGAGCCAUGAGGACAGGUUGGACACUCUCCUUGGGGAUGAUGCCGGGCAGGGCCCGUUGCACGUCUGAUAGGACUCUGUUAUAUCGUGUGGGCGCAUAGCUAUGUCGGCGGCACUGCUGUAUCACGGGGGUGCGUACUUAAGUCAGCAUGAGGACAGCCAGUGUGUGCGAUGAGCCUGGACCCCUGGCGGACCUCGAACACGGGUUUGCUGUCCCAGGGCCUUGCACAGGGUCUGACUGAGUGCUACUGAGUAGUGGUCUGAGACAGAUCCCCAGCCUUGGGGCCCCAAAGCUCAUCGUUUAUUUCAUUUCCCCCCAGUUUUUGGUGUUGAGCCAGACUUGACCAGGGAAGGCGGCAGCAUUCCCGUGACCUUGACCUUUCAGGAGGCCACGGGCAAGAACGUCAUGCUGCUGCCUGUGGGGUCGGCGGAUGACGGAGCCCACUCCCAGAAUGAAAAGCUCAACAGGCAUAACUACAUAGAGGGAACCAAGAUGCUGGCUGCGUACCUGUAUGAGGUCUCCCAGCUGAAGGACUAGGCCCAGCCGUCUGUGUGCCAACUCCGACGAGAAGGAAUCCUGCCCUCACCUCACCCUUUUCCAACUUGCCCAGGGAAGUGGAGGUUCCCUCUUUCCUUUCCCUCUUGUCAGGUCAUCCACGACUUUAGAGAACAGACACAAGUGUAUCCAGCUGUCCACGGGUGGAGUUACCCGAUGGGCUUAAGAGUGACCUGGAGUGACAGCUGAGUCACCCUGGGUAAGUUCUCAGAGUGGUCAGGAUGGCUUGACCUGCAGAAGAUACCCAAGGUCCAAAAGCAGAAGGUCUGCGGAAAGUUCUGGUUGUUGGCCGGGCAUCACGGCUCACACCUAUAAUCCAGCACUUUGGGAGGCCAAGACAGGAGGAUCACUUGAAGCCAGGAGUCUGAGACCAGCCUAGGCAACAAAACAAGACUCUGUCUCUACAAAAAGUUUAAGAAAUGAGCCAGACAUGGUGGUGUAUGCCUGUAGUCCCAGCCACUCAGAAGGCUGAGGCAGGAGGAUCGCUUGAGACCAAGAGUUUGAGCCUGCAGUGAGCUAUGAUUGCACCACGGCACUCAAGCCUGGGCAAUGUAGCAAGAUCCUGUCUCUACAAGAAGUUUUUUAAAAAUAAGCCAAGUGUGAUGGUGCAUGCCUGUAGUUCCAGCUACUCAGGACACUGAUGUAGGAGGGUUGCUUGAGGCUGAGAGUUGGAGGCUGCGAUGAGCCAUGACUGCCCCACUGCACUCCAGCCUGGGCAACAGAAUGAGACCGCAUAUCAAAAAAAUAAGUUCUGGUUGUCAUUGAAUUGGGAUAAACAGAGAGCUUGAUGCUUUCUGCCUUCUGUCUCAGAUGAUGCAUUGCACAUUUGGGAUAUUUGGAAAGGAAAUGAGGAAAGAAAUCAGGGCCUCCUCUGAUCUCUCGCUAUCUGCGGGUCCUGUCCUUUUCUCAAGACCUUCACCAUUACUGGUGUUUUCCUGUCUUCUCUUUAGUAUGAUCCCUCAAAACCUCACUAACUGGUAGGAUGAUUUUGUCUCAGUUUGUCCUAAAUAAAAAGUAAACAUGACACCUCU
rnacentral:sRNA from 1 species